rnacentral:rRNA from 1 species
UACGUAGGGGGCAAGCGUUGUCCGGAUUUAUUGGGCGUAAAGAGCGUGUAGGCGGCCAUGCAGGUCCGCUGUGAAAACUCGAGGCUCAACCUCGAGAUGUCGGUGGAAACCGUAUGGCUAGAGUCCGGAAGAGGAGAGUGGAAUUCCUGGUGUAGCGGUGAAAUGCGCAGAUAUCAGGAAGAACACCCGUGGCGAAGGCGGCUCUCUGGGACGGUACUGACGCUGAGACGCGAAAGCGUGGGGAGCGAACAGG